rnacentral:rRNA from 1 species
AACAUGACUCUCGGCAACGGAUAUCUCGGCUCUCGCAUCGAUGAAGAACGUAGCAAAAUGCGAUACCUGGUGUGAAUUGCAGAAUCCCGUGAACCAUCGAGUUUUUGAACGCAAGUUGCGCCCGAGACCUUCUGGUCGAGGGCACGUCUGCCUGGGCGUCACGC